AGUUAAAUAAACUUACUUCUUGUCUUUAACUCCACUUGCAAUGCUAAGUUGUGGAAAUUGAACUCAAGUGUACAAGUUUUAGAAAAUUAAACUUAAAGGUAUGCGUUAUGUUGACUAAUUGUGAUUUUUGUCUGGCUUGUAAAUGUUCAUUUAACUCGUGGCUGUAAGUUAACGUUGGGGGAGGGGUGAUACAGAGCAAAUACCGCGAAAUACAGAGAGGAGUUGUCGCCAUUUUGUGCCAGCGCAGCUGCAAGCAGGAGUCAUACGGGAAUUCAUGCUGAAAAACACAAAAUAUCCGUGGAAGAGGAGUAUCGGAAGAGCAUGCUUUUAGAGGUCCAAAAGUGUGAUCCAGACCUGCAGCUUCUUGAUGAACUGAUGACUGCAACAUUCUCUCAGCAAAGAAAAGAAAAUCAUUGCCGACAAGCCACUCAUCUCUGUAGUCAGGGACAGAUGGCCUGCACUCUUCAAUGAGAGACAGAUAAGUGAUAAAUGGACUAGAUGCCUUGGUGCCAAUUUUUUUAGAGCUGUACAAAGUCUCGUCAAGCAGGAGGUUGAGCAUUAGCAGAGUUAUGCAGUGCCUUGAUAAGGAGGACACAAAUCAGAACAGAAGAACAGCUGCCUUACUUGGUCUUCCACACUUCUUUUCAGAGGAUACUUCGGAUAUAACCAAGAUGUGUGAUGUUCAUGGUGAAACCCUGGAUGUCAUUAUGAAGGGAAUGCGUGUUGGUCUACUGAUUGGACACGAAGGUGUCCUGAAUGAUGCAUUUCCUCUUGAUGUCUCCAACGUGGCUGUGGUGGUAGAAGAGACAAUUGUUCUCCAUAAUCUCAGAGACAUACCCACUGGCUUUGCUCUGUUAAUGGGCACAAUCUACUGCCUUAACCUACUCCUUCGAAUUCCUGCAGAAAGUGAUCAUGAAGAUUAAAACUGACCACUGUUCUGCCAAUAUACAUGGACUUCGAAACAAACUGCUGAGAUAUAAUUUAUAGACUGGUCUCAAACCAUAUAUCGGAGGUAACAUGUUAUGUUUGCAGUCUUUGGAGGACACUUGACACUUGAGUUAUUUGACACUGUUCAAAAUUGAUAUUACCGACUAUUUCAAGUAAAACCCAAGUACUGCUGAAAAUUAACAGAAGCAUAAAUGUUUAGAUGUGUUUUUAAAGGAGAACUCUGGUCAAUUUAAACAUUGAGCUAAUUUUUUUUGUACAUUUGGAGUGCUGUCAGU